rnacentral:lncRNA from 1 species
UAGUGUUCAUCAUGCCAAGCAGAUGGCACCAGGAGGAAUGGAGCCCCUGCCAGUGUGAGUCGUAGCAGUGCAGGAGGGCAGACCCUGGCGGAGACAUCGGCCUAAGUUGAUGCCCUACACAGUGAAUUCCAGAGGCUUAGGAGGUUCCGCUCCG